rnacentral:tRNA from 1 species
GGAGGGGUGGCAGAGCUGGUUGAAUGCACCGGUCUUGAAAACCGGCAGGCGCGCGAGCGUCUCCAGGGUUCGAAUCCCUGCCCCUCCGCCA